CUCAACCUCGAACUGGCGCCUGAAACUAUCUGGCUAGAGUGUUGGAGGGGUAAGCGGAAUUUCUGGUGUAGCGGUGAAAUGCGUAGAUAUCAGAAGGAACACCAAUGGCGAAAGCAGCUUACUGGACAACAACUGACGCUGAGGCACGAAAGCGUGGGUAGCGAAAGGGAUUAGAUACCCCUGUAGUCCACGCCGUAAACGUUGCACACUAGGUCUUGGAGGUUUCGACCCCUUCAGGACCCAAGCUAACGCGAUAAGUGUGCCGCCUGAGGACUACGGCCGCAAGGCUAAAACUCAAAGGAAUUGACGGGGGCCCGCACAAGCGGUGGAGCAUGUGGCUUAAUUCGAUGCAACGCGAAGAACCUUACCCAGGCUUGACAUGUAUCGGACGGUUUCCAGAGAUGGAUUCCUCCCUUCGGGGCUG
rnacentral:rRNA from 1 species